GAUGAACGCUGGCGGCGUGCCUAACACAUGCAAGUCGAGCGGACGGACGAUAAGCUUGCUCCUCUAAUGUUAGCGGCGGACGGGUGAGUAAGACGUGGAUAACCUACCUCUAUUUCUGGGAUAACUUCGGGAAACCGGAGCCAAUACUGGAGCAUACUUUGAACCGGAUAGUUCAAAAGUGAAAGACGGUCUUGCUGUCACUAAUAGAUGGAUCGGCGCUGCAUUAGCUAGUCGGUAAGGUAACAGCUUACCAAGGCAACGAUGCAUAUCGGACCUGAGAGGGUGAUCGGCCAAACUGGAACUGAGACACGGUCACGACUCCUACGGGAGGAAGCAGUGGGGAAUAUUCCACAAUGGGCGCAAGCCUGACCCAGCAACACCGCGUGAGUGAUGAAGGUCUUCGGAUCGUAAAACUCUGUUAUUAGGGAAGAACACAUGUAUCAGUAGUUGUCCACCUCGUGACGGUACCUAACGAGAAAGCAACGGCUAACUUCGUG
rnacentral:rRNA from 1 species